UACGUAGGUGGCAAGCGUUGUCCGGAUUUACUGGGCGUAAAGAGCGCGCAGGCGGUCGUUCAAGUCGCGUGUGAAAGCCCCCGGCUCCAACUGGGGAGGGUCACGGCGAUACUGAUCGACUCGAAGGCAGGAGAGGGAAGUGGAAUUCCCGGUGGUAGUGGUGAAAUGACGCAGAUAUCAGGAGGAACACCGGUGGCGAAGGCGGAUCUCUGGGCCUUACCUGACGCUGAGACGCGAAAGCUAGGGGAGCGAACAGG
rnacentral:rRNA from 1 species